rnacentral:rRNA from 1 species
CCUACGGGGGGCAGCAGUAAGGAAUAUUGGUCAAUGGACGCAAGUCUGAACCAGCCAUGCCGCGUGGAGGAUGAAGGUCCUCUGGAUUGUAAACUUCUUUUAUUUGGGAAGAAACUCACGAUUUCCAUCGGGAUUGACGGUACCAGAUGAAUAAGCACCGGCUAACUCCGUGCCAGCAGCCGCGGUAAUACGGAGGGUGCCGGCGUUAUCCGGAUUAACGGGGUUGAAGGGGGGCAGGUAUGUCAGGGUUGAAAUCUCCGGGCUUAGCCCGGAAACUGCCAUUGAUACUAUUUGUCUUGAAUACUCUGGAGGUGAGCGGAAUAUGUCAUGUAGCGGUGAAAUGCUUAGAUAUGACAUAGAACACCCAUUGCGAAGGCAGCUCACUACGGAAAUAUUGACGCUGAGGCACGAAAGCGUGGGGAUCAAACAGGAUUAGAUACCCGGGUAGUC